ensembl:lncRNA
CUCAGGGUGUGAGUGGCUCAGAUGAAGCCACAGACCAGACAGGGAGCAGCCUCCUUUCUCCCCGACCCCGUGGGUGCCAAGCACACACAGCACCUGCGCCCUGGAGGAUGCUGGUCAUGACACCCUCCUUGUGCAGGAUGCUAAGAGCACCCCAUAAGUGCCCUUGCUUCACAGUCUCGGCAGGCCCCAGGCAGCCUGUGGGAUGGGCUUGGUGGUGGUCAUCAUACCACUUUACAGCUGAGAAACUAAGACUCAGAGAGGCAUGUACUACCCAGCACACUGGGGACACACACCUAGGAAUUGGGCACACCCAGGAGUCCCAGACCUCAGGGUGACCCUGGGACCCUGGCGGCACGGGUCAAAGGGCACAGGCUCAGACGCUGCCAAUGCAUCAUGAUCAGAGAACUGUAGGAACCCAGAGUGGGAAAGGCUCAAGGGAGGCUGCCUGGAAGAAGUGGCAUUGGGCGCGAGGUUGCCAUCUCUCCCUGCCGUGAGUAGGGGACCAGGAGACACUGGACAGAGUCUCUGCCCUGGGAAACCCAGCACCCCACUGCUGACCGUUCUAAGGACAACAGAAGGUGGCAGGUGGUUCUGGGCCAGAUGAGUGGCCCAGGUGGCAAGCUGCAGGGAAGAACGGCCACAGGAUGGACAGGGUCCUGCAGCACAGCCGCAGGCCCUGGAGUCCCCUGUCUCAAGCCGGCUUUGCUCCUCAGGAAGUCUCGCCAGCUCCCAGCAUCGUCAGCAUCCUCAUCUCUAAAGGGAGGACGGUGGCAGCACCUGCUUCAUGACGUGGCCUUGAGGAUCUGGUGUGAGGGCUUGUAAAGCGUGGGGUAGAUCUUAACAAGAUGCAGCUGGUAUCACUAUGAAUAUUUCUAAACAAGUGGUGGACAGGCCAGCUUCACACAGGAGCAGCCGGAGCUGGAGGCCUGGCCUGGUUUAGAGUUGGGGCGAGGUCCUCUCUACCCAACGCCUGCUGCAAGUCAGGCCAUCAUCUCCUCUGCUCUAACGACCUCGUGGGAUUGGUACUGUUAUCCCUGCUUGCAGGAGUGGGAGGGGGGCCUCAGAGAGGCGGUGUCCUGGCUGAGGCUGCAUGGAUUUGGGGUGGAACUGAGAUGCUGUGAGACCCUCUGCCUGGCACAGCGCACAGCCAUACCCUUUCCCCAGGUGGACCCUCAUAUGCCCCGCUCCCCCCAGCCCCUCCUGUUAGCACCACCCCGUCUGGGGUCUCUCUGGAUAUUCAAGUUUUCCUGGAGCUGCUGAUGCCCUUCCCUUGCCCUGUUCUGGAACUUUCUCAUGCCCAGCUCUUUCCUGCCCAGACACAGCUGCAGAGCUGUCAUCUCAGCCUUUGCUGACAUCUUCACUUGUGCCCCGUUGUUUAAGGGUCCCAUCUGGCCCCAGUCUUCUCCCCCAGCCUUUGAACUUGACUGGGGUUGGGGCGGGGUCACCCUCUGUCUGGGCCUCCCCACAGGUGUGAGGCUUCAGGCAGUUCCUUCCCCAGCCACUGCCCCCUGUUUCACCUCUGGCACAGGCACGCAGACACCUGCUGAGUGGUCUUCAGUGACAAUGCAUUCCCUCGGUCAGCAAAUAUUUGCCGCCUGUGGUUCAGCCCACCUGCAGGCCACCCAGGAUAGGAGUGGAGGGGACAGUGGCCCUGAGCCAACAGGGGGAGGCUGCCGAGGAUGCCAACGUCAUCUCUGGCCGAAGCACUCACGGGUGUAGGGGCCAGGACCGUGGAGGGGAUGCCCUGCUUUGGAGAACUGCCCCCUCUGGGCUCCGAGGACAGACUGGAGCCGGGGUAGGUUCUUGCGUGCAUCCUGGGAAGUCUGGCUGAGACGGAGGGUGCCGUCUGGAGAAGGGCAGCCUUUGAGGUGAGGCUGGGAGGUGGGAGGCCGCCACUGCCAGCUCUCGCGGCAUGCACCGCGACCCAUGAGCUUGUCAUGUUUCAGCUCCCCCUGAGAAAUGACGAAGGGCGCUGCCUGUGGGGGUGAGCUCCCUCCACGGAAGGUGUGCAAGGCGAUGGAUGCGAAUUCCUGCCUGGAGUGCCGGAUCUUCACGGUUGGUGAGUCCGGGGGAGCAGCUGGGUGCAGGGAAGGGGCCGGGCGGGAGUCUAACACGGGGGCUCCAGGUCUGGCACCAUCGCUGUCUGUGGGAUCUGACGAAGGUCCCCCGCCCUGCCGAGCCUCAGUUUCCUGAUUGUAAUGUGGCCAUGCUUGGGUUUACCUCCAAAGGCUGUGGGGCGGCGAUGAGAGGGAGCCCAGCGCAUUGUAGGUACUUUGGAAAGUCAGUCCUCCUCCACCCCACAGAGAAGCUGGACACAUGAAGAUGUCAUCAUUCCCGCUUUACAACACUCUCAGAGAGGUUUGGCCAUCUGUCCUGGGGCGCCCAGCCACUGGGCCAGCCAUCCCUCCCGAGGGCAUUGCCGC